ACCAGACUCCUACGGGAGGCAGCAGUGGGGAAUAUUGCACAAUGGGGGAAACCCUGAUGCAGCGACGCCGCGUGAGCGAUGAAGUAUUUCGGUAUGUAAAGCUCUAUCAGCAGGGAAGAAGAUGACGGUACCUGACUAAGAAGCCCCGGCUAACUACGUGCCAGCAGCCGCGGUAAUACGUAGGGGGCAAGCGUUAUCCGGAUUUACUGGGUGUAAAGGGAGCGUAGACGGCUGUGCAAGUCUGAAGUGAAAGCCCAGGGCUCAACCCUGGGACUGCUUUGGAAACUGUGGAGCUAGAGUGCUGGAGAGGUAAGUGGAAUUCCUAGUGUAGCGGUGAAAUGCGUAGAUAUUAGGAGGAACACCAGUGGCGAAGGCGGCCUGCUGGACUGCAACUGACGUUGAGGCUCGAAGGCGUGGGGAGCAAACAGGAUUAGAUACCCGUGUAAC
rnacentral:rRNA from 1 species